AGUAGACCAAGGCGCUUGAGAGAACUCUGCUGAAGGAACUAGGCAAAAUGGUACCGUAACUUCGGGAGAAGGUACGCUGUUGUUGGUGAUGGAACUCGCUUCCUGAGCUGACGACAGCCGCAGAAACCAGGCCGCUGCAACUGUUUAUUAAAAACAUAGCACUCUGCAAACACGAAAGUGGACGUAUAGGGUGUGAUGCCUGCCCGGUGCUGGAAGGUUAAUUGAUGGGGUUAGCGUAAGCGAAGCUCUUGAUCGAAGCCCCAGUAAACGGCGGCCGUAACUAUAACGGUCCUAAGGUAGCGAAAUUCCUUGUCGGGUAAGUUCCGACCUGCACGAAUGGCAUAAUGAUGGCGGCGCUGUCUCCAGCAGAGGCUCAGUGAAAUCGAAAUCGCUGUGAAGAUGCAGUGUACCCGCGGCUAGACGGAAAGACCCCGUGAACCUUUACUGCAGCUUGACACUGAACUUUGACCUUACUUGUGUAGGAUAGGUGGGAGGCUUUGAAGCUGGAACGCUAGUUCCAGUGGAGCCGUCCUUGAAAUACCACCCUGGUAAUGUUGAGGUUCUAACUCUGUCCCGUGAUCCGGGACGAGGACCGUGUCUGGUGGGUAGUUUGACUGGGGCGGUCUCCUCCUAAAGAGUAACGGAGGAGUACGAAGGUGCGCUCAGCGUGGUCGGAAAUCACGCGUAGAGUAUAAAGGCAAAAGCGCGCUUAACUGCGAGACCCACAAGUCGAGCAGGUACGAAAGUAGGUCUUAGUGAUCCGGUGGUUCUGUAUGGAAGGGCCAUCGCUCAACGGAUAAAAGGUACUCUGGGGAUAACAGGCUGAUACCGCCCAAGAGUUCAUAUCGACGGCGGUGUUUGGCACCUCGAUGUCGGCUCAUCUCAUCCUGGGGCUGAAGCAGGUCCCAAGGGUAUGGCUGUUCGCCAUUUAAAGAGGUACGCGAGCUGGGUUUAGAACGUCGUGAGACAGUUCGGUCCCUAUCUACCGUGGGCGCUGGAAAUUUGAGAGGAUCUGCUCCUAGUACGAGAGGACCAGAGUGGACGAACCUCUGGUGUACCGGUUGUGACGCCAGUCGCAUCGCCGGGUAGCUAUGUUCGGAAGGGAUAACCGCUGAAAGCAUCUAAGCGGGAAGCCUACCUCAAGAUAAGAUUUCCCUAGGACUUUAUGUCCUCUAAAGAGCCGUUCGAGACUAGGACGUUGAUAGGUUGGAUGUGGAAGCAUAGUGAUAUGUGAAGCUGACCAAUACUAAUUGCUCGUGAGGCUUGACUAU
rnacentral:rRNA from 1 species